AGUGAACGCUGGCGGUAGGCCUAACACAUGCAAGUCGAACGGCAGCACAGUAAGAGCUUGCUCUUACGGGUGGCGAGUGGCGGACGGGUGAGGAAUACAUUGGAAUCUACUUUUUCGUGGGGGAUAACGUAGGGAAACUUACGCUAAUACCGCAUACGACCUACGGGUGAAAGCAGGGGAUCUUCGGACCUUGCGCGAUUGAAUGAGCCGAUGUCGGAUUAGCUAGUUGGCGGGGUAAAGGCCCACCAAGGCGACGAUCCGUAGCUGGUCUGAGAGGAUGAACAGCCACACUGGAACUGAGACACGGUCCAGACUCCUACGGGAGGCAGCAGUGGGGAAUAUUGGACAAUGGGCGCAAGCCUGAUCCAGCCAUACCGCGUGGGUGAAGAAGGCCUUCGGGUUGUAAAGCCCUUUUGUUGGGAAAGAAAAGCAGCAGGUUAAUACCCCGCUGUUCUGACGGUACCCAAAGAAUAAGCACCGGCUAACUUCGUG
rnacentral:rRNA from 1 species